GAACUUAAGCAUGUCAUAAGCGGAGGAAAAGAAACUAACAAGGAUUCCCUAGUAACGGCGAGUGAAGCGGGAAGAGCUCAAAUUUGUAAUCUGGCACUUUCAGUGUCCGAGUUGUAAUCUCGAGAAGUGUUUUCCGCGCCGGACCGCAUACAAGUCUGUUGGAAUACAGCGUCAUAGUGGUGAGAACCCCGUAACUGAUGCGGAUGCCCGGUGCUUUGUGAUACACUUUCGAAGAGUCGAGUUGUUUGGGAAUGCAGCUCAAAUUGGGUGGUAAAUUCCAUCUAAAGCUAAAUAUUGGCGAGAGACCGAUAGCGAACAAGUACCGUGAGGGAAAGAUGAAAAGCACUUUGGAAAGAGAGUUAACAGUACGUGAAAUUGUUGGAAGGGAAACGCUUGAAGUCAGACUUGCUAUUUGGAAUUCAGCCGCAAGGUGUACUUUUCAAUUCGCAGGCCAGCAUCAGUUUUUGGGGGUGGAAAGGGUAUUGAGAAGGUAGCAGUCUCGGCUGUGUUAUAGCUCUUUACUGGAUUCAUCCUUGGGGACUGAGGAACGCAGCACGCUUUUUGCAAGGCUUUCGAGCUUUUCGUGCUUAGGAUGCUGGUGGAAUGGCUUUAAACGACCCGUCUUGAAACACGGACCAAGGAGUCUAACAUGCUUGCGAGUGUUUGGGUGUCAAACCCGGACGCGCAAUGAAAGUGAAUGGAGGUGGGAAGCGCAAGCUGCACCAUCGACCGAUCUGGAUUUUUUAAGAUGGAUUUGAGUAAGAGCAAUUAUGUUGGGACCCGAAA
rnacentral:rRNA from 1 species